AUGAAGAAGAUCAAGAGUGGGAAUGAGCUAGUGGAAGAAGUAAAGAAGAUUGAGAAGAACAUCAACGCUGGUAGUACUAUUUCUUCACAACUUGAGCUGAGUAAUUCUGGGAUUCCCCUUGAUACAUGUGAGGUUCCAAUACCGUCACAUCCAGCUGAGCAAGAUAGCAAGUGCUUUGAGCAAGAGAUACCUCAGAUUGAAGAAGAUGAACUAGAAGACAAGGAACAAGAUGAUCAAGAUCUGCAAUUCCCAAGUGAUCAAGUUGAAGACUCGUCAUCUACUACUCCUGAAGAAGUAAAAGAAGCUGUUGUAGAUGAAGAUGAAGAACCUGAGAUUCAUUUGCCUAUUGUCAUACAAGAGCGUGAUGUGUCAGGUUUAUCUAAUCCUCUUAAUGACAUGUCUUCAUAUGAUUUGUUUGCUACUACCUUGCAUUUCAUAAUGCCAUCACUUAAGGUAGAUUUGAAAAACUAUUUGCUUGGACAUGAUCAUACACACCCUGUUAGUGGCAUUGCUCAUAUCUCUGUUCAUGAUACUUAUGUUCCUGAUGCUAUACCCAUGCUUAAUGAAACGUGUGAUUCUAAUACUAGCAUUGAGCUUACUGAUUUGUACCAUCCUAAACAUGUGCUUUAUAGCUAUGCUUAUGUAAUUGGGUAUUCUAUUGAUGAUUUAGAGGGCAUUACCCCUGUCACUUGUAUCGCCUCCUUGGUUGAGUGCUCUUUCAGGUUGUUGCUUGUGCACGAUCCACUACAUGCUGAUCAAGUUCGAGAUGACAUUCCCUGGGACCCCGGUGGACCCAUGGCGUGGGGAUGA
rnacentral:rRNA from 1 species